CUUAAAAACUUCUAAGGAAGGAGAUUCUACCACCUCCCUAGGUAACGCAGUCCAGUGUUUCUCCACCCUCCUAGUGAAAAAGUUUUUCCUAAUAUCCAACCUAAACCUCCCCCACUGCAACUUGAGACCAUUACUCCUUGUCCUGUCCUCUUCUACCACUGAGAAUAGUCUAGAACCAUCCUCUCUGGAACCACCUCUCAGGCCAGGUCUACUCUACAAACGGACACGGGUACAACUACAUCACUCAGAAAAUCCACCCUCUGGAGCGACGCAGAUACAGUUUGACCAGCCAGUGAGGACCAGUCUGCUACCAACCUGGAAUGCUGCUGGCUGUGGAGAUCCCCAGACUGUCAAGGGGGGUCAGAAGUGCUUUGAAAGGGCUGAGAAGCUGCCGUUCUUCUCAAGCUGUGAAGGGUCCAGGUGACUUGAGUCCAGAGCGCCAAAUGUGCGGGAGGUCAGAUUAGAUGAUCAUGAUGGUCCCUUCUGACCUUCAAGUCUAUGAAUCAGUGAGACACACACAGCACAUACGACGGCCACACUACAAUGACUGAGAAAUCAUCUCUGCGAGACGAUCAGAGGGGACUGUGUUCUGAUGUGCGUGCUCGAGAACAGGAAGGUCGAUAUCAUGUGGGAACUUUAUCUUUGAAUAUCUGUAAUAGCAACAAAAUGGGGACAUCUAUAUACGGAAUGCCUGCAGAUUUACUGCCCAACUGCUUGUCUUUAAAUGAUAUUCACAGUAUUCCAAAUCCUAUCUACAAUGGGUUGUCCCAUUUAUAAUCAUUUCUGUGUGCAUGGAAUGUCUAUUUCCCAGGUCACUCUGUGGGACUCUCUCUUCAAAGCCCACUGGGCAAUAUUACCAGCUACUUAACAGGGUUUUACAUACCUACAACAGCCCUGAAGUUUAACUCUGUGUCCAGCCUUAUGGAAAGAGCUCCAGCCUGGGUUUCACCAGAGCGUGAAGCUGAGGUGCAGGAAGAAAGGGAGCAUAAUAGAGUUAUACGUAAUAUUGUGUGAGCGACCCCAGACCUCAUUAUGCCAGUGGGGCCGUUUACCUUUCUGGGUUGGUUUUUAUUCCACUUUGUGUGGCCCUGGCUGGCAAUGAAGUCAUCGUAAACCAGGUAGUACAAACUCUUCCUCAGAGGUGCACUGUAUGUUUGUACAAAUGAUUCAAGGGUACGUCCACACUGCCGGGCCUGGCUCAGCUGACGGGGGCUGACAGGGCUCAGGUUGUGGGGCUAUAAAAUUGCAGUGCAGACGUUCGGGCUGGGGCUGGAGCCCCAGGGGAGAGAGUCUCAGAUCUCAGGCUCUGAUUCAAGACCAAAUGUCUACACAGUUCAUUUUAGCCCCGAAGCCCAGGCCUGACUCAGCUAACCCAGGCUCUGACUCAAUGCCGCAGGGUUUUUUUAUCUCAGUGUAGAUGUAACCCAAGCUGCAUCCCCAGCUGGUGUAAAUUGGCCAUAGCUCCAUUGGAACCUGUGGGGCCAGAUCCCCAGCUGGUGAGAAUCAGAGGGGAGGAUCUGACCCAUGGGACUUGCAACACACACACAUUUUGCAGGCAGUGCCCAGUUGGGAGCGGGGAUGUGAAAAUUCACUCCUAACACAGCCCCGCAAGAGGCAGGGAUGAAUCAGCCAGGCGGAGCUGAUCAUUCCCACUAAAAUCUCCAGCCGGCUGCUCAGGGGGCUAGGACAGUUUAACCAGAGUGAGGGGACAUGGAUCUCAGUGACUUGGGCUCUGGGUGGAACUUGCUCUGCAGGUUUCUAUAGUUAAAGGGCAUAGAGGAGGCAUUGCUGGGUCCUGCUUGAUGAGACGGUGAAAAGUGAGUGUGCAGGGAAGGGGCUCAUUAGCUGUUGUCUCCAGGGAGCUGGUGCUCAGAUGGAGGAUGGCGUAACUUUACAAACGGCCACCAUCACAAUUUGCUACCUGUCACAGUUAUUGACAUCUACUGGGUGUUCUUUUCUGCUGCUCUGUGACAACGUGCUGCCCCGCCCGAUGUAUCAAAAUGUGAUGGAUGGGGGUUGCCUGUCACAAUUUCCACAAUGUGCUACCAUGGAGAAAGCUCUGUUGGCAAUUUGGACACAAGGAAAGAAAGGGAGUGUUGUCAUUUGGAAAAGCACUUCUAAACAGUUAAAAUGCAAGGCUAUGCAAACCA